GUUUUAUUAAGCUUCUGCUUUCUCGAAUCUAAGGAAAGUGAUGACCUGUUCAGAAAGAGAAAACACUGCAUGUUGUGUAAUCUAGAUGGGACAUAAACCACACUUGGGUGAUCUUUAAAAUAGAUUUUAUUUACCAUUUGUAAUUGAACAGUUUACGAUAUACAGCUGACAUGACUAAGACAAUUCAAUGGAUUUUGGCCCCAAGGUACAAGAGACAUGGUUAGAUAUAUAUGAUAAAGUACCAGUACUGUGUUCAUUUCAUUUGUGCUUUAUUCUCCCUUAUGAUAGAAUUUACAUUGGCAUAACAUCAUGUCUACUCUGCUGACAGUGACAACAGUUUACUCAGACCAUUGUAAAGCCUUAUUUCAAAACGGAAGUUUGUAUUAUUAGAUAUGUUAUAAACACAUGACUUGAUUUAAAGUGCUGAAACAACUUGUAAAAACAUGUUUAUGAGUAAGAAAUUCAGACAUCUCUGUGAUUGUAGUGAAUCACAGAGCAGAUAAAUCAGUUUUAGUACAGUAAAAGCUUACUAUCCGUUUUCAGAAUUGCUAACAUUUAUUAAUUUCUUACAUUCCAUAUAUAGAAGCCUUUUACUACAGUGAUUUCAAUAUGAGGUGAUGAACAAUUUGUUUCUAUACAAUGUCACAAAUAUAUGAAUAUUCAUUCAAUGUGUCCUUUUACACUACCUGCUUAGGUUGAUCAUUUUAAUGGAAGGGUCUCACCAAAUGAUAAAAUGCCAAGUUAAUGAAAUAAUAGUCUCAGUGAUCAAAAAAGGAAGAAUAAGAUGAAAACAAAAUCACCCUUUCAUACAUAGUUCCCCAAUACAUUGAUAUUUUGAUCUUCUGUCAUGUAUUGUAUUUACAAUGUUAUUUAGUCUUUUAUUCAGAUCCCCAUUAGCUGAAGCAGCAGCUACUCUUCCUGGGGCCCAAGCAAUGUUGCUGAUUAUGGGGUUUGAUUUCCUUUUCUUUAUUUGCCACAUAAUGCUCGUAAACUACUCCUCCACCAAAUUGAAAAGGCCAGUCUGUUUACACAAAACAUUUACAGCACAGUUGCUAUAUUGUAAACAGAUGUGACUGCAGUACAGAACCACAGUGUUCACUUAAUACUGUUGGCAUUAUUACUAUGUAAAAUAGAUUAACACUUAUGUACUGUCCCCAAAAGUCAUGUAGCUGCAGACAUGUCAUGUACCUUCAACAGAACAUACUGGUCAAUGCAUUCCUUUGAAUUCAAGUUUCAACCCAAGCUUUUGUUUGGCAAUACUUUUGAUAUCAGCUGGCUUUUAGAACAAGAUGAAGGUAGUGUCACUGAACAUGGAUGGUAAAUCGUGAUGAUAAAAUACAUGUUUUUUUUUGUACAAAAACAAAAGGUCUCUUAAAAAGGUAGUUUGUGUUUUGUUAGAUGAAAAAAUGGAUCGCUACUGAUUGAUUAGAAUUACAUGACAUCAAUACUGACACUAUCGUGGUCUAAAAAUAGUAGUUAGCAGUAGGGUAUCCACUACACAGAAAUACAUAUUACACUAAACACUGGCUAAUUAUACUAUAAGAAAAUAAAAAUACACCCAAAUAAAAACACAAACACCAGUCCUCUGAUAGAGGAAGAAUUCCGGGAUAGCAGAGACCAAAGGGUUGCAAUAGCAUGGUGGUUAUCCUAACUUACUACUAUUAUAAAGACGAGGACUGCAAGUCAACAGUUCAACAAGAAGAAGAAAUAAAAGUCCUAGAGGACUCCCUAGCCUCAGCCGACAUGUCGAGAAUAAUUCUGUUAUCAAAUGAUGUCACCAGGGCCAUUAUAUACUAACCCACUUUAGCUCAACCAUUUACACCUGCUGUCAACUUCUUCUUACCAAAAUGAUAUGUAUCCAUAGUGUUUCUAACUUUUCAAGACACACACAUCCGUUAAAAGCAACAUCAUUACUAGUAUCCUGUGCUAUCGUCAUUCCAGGACCACUACUACUCUGCUUUAUAACAGAUUCAGUAGUGUGGCUGUACUGUGCUUCAGUCAUCAUCAUAGGAGAACACACUAGUCUGUUUCCAUCUGAAGUAAAACUUGAGUCUGUUGGGCUGCAUCUAACCUACUGCUGUGCUUGUUUUUAUGUUUAAAUAACCAACAACUUUGGGUAGGUCCCAAAUGGAAUCCUAUUCCCCAUUACAUAGGCAAUAAGAUGCCAUGUGGGACAAAAUAACCACUAACUACUCCCCUGAGUGUCAGACAUGCCUCCUGUUGGACUGCAAGGUUUCGUUUCUAUUUUGGACAACGUCUGGAUAGCUAACUGUCAUGACACUUUUAACACAGUGAAACUGAAGUAAAAUGGAAGGAGAACAACUCAUAGUCAUGACAGCAGAAACUGGAUUUAUGCAGUCAGAUAAAGAUGUUGAACAUUAUAUACAGUGACGUACUGGUUAAAGAAGAAAUACAAAAUCUGAAGUUUCAAGAUGCAAUGCUCUAGCUCUUUAGCAGCUGCAUUGCCAGACUACCCAUCUCCAUCAGUGCAUGCCAGGCAAGGACCCAGUGGAUUUACAAUGUUACCACAGACAGGUCGUUGCCUCACUGCAACACAGAUGCAACGUAACAGAGCGGAGAUAAAUGCCUCAAAUUAGAUGGAGAGAUGGGACUUCUUGACAAUUGCCAAUUCCAGCAACCUGUGAGAGCACUACUCCCACCCUAAACCCAACCACAACAUCAUCCUUUCACAAAGUGACUGAAAUACAUGUACCUCCCACUCCAACCCACUAAAAUAAAACAAUUACCAGUAAAAAAACAAGUCAUGGAUGAGGAAUGGUAAACAUUAC
rnacentral:lncRNA from 1 species